rnacentral:rRNA from 1 species
AACGAACGCUGGCGGCAUGCCUAACACAUGCAAGUCGAACGAUUGCCUUCGGGUGAUAGUGGCGCACGGGUGCGUAACGCGUGGGAAUCUGCCCUUAGGUUCGGUAUAACAGCUGGAAACGGCUGCUAAUACCGGAUGAUAUCGCGAGAUCAAAGAUUUAUCGCCUGAGGAUGCGCCCGCGUUGGAUUAGGUAGUUGGUGGGGUAAAGGCCUACCAAGCCGACGAUCCAUAGCUGGUCUGAGAGGAUGAUCAGCCACACUGGGACUGAGACACGGCCCAGACUCCUACGGGAGGCAGCAGUGGGGAAUAUUGGACAAUGGGCGCAAGCCUGAUCCAGCAAUGCCGCGUGAGUGAUGAAGGCCCUAGGGUUGUAAAGCUCUUUUACCCGGGAAGAUAAUGACUGUACCGGGAGAAUAAGCCCCGGCUAACUCCGUG